AUACGUAGGGGGCGAGCGUUAUCCGGAUUUACUGGGUGUAAAGGGCGCGUAGGCGGAACUUUAAGUCUGAUGUGAAAUACCAAGGCUCAACUUUGGAACUGCAUCGGAAACUGGAGAUCUAGAGUGUGGGAGAGGAAAGCGGAAUUCUCAGUGUAGCGGUGAAAUGCGUAGAUAUUGAGAGGAACACCGGUGGCGAAGGCGGCUUUCUGGACCAUAACUGACGCUGAGGCGCGAAAGCGUGGGUAGC
rnacentral:rRNA from 1 species